CUUAAAGUGCCUCACAAUCAGAAUGAAGUAUAUACCGCUUUGCUUAUUUAUGCUGGCAUUUUUUGUCAGUUUAGUGACUGCAUCUGUUUCCGUUACUGUGGAGGCGCAUAAUGUCGAUAGAUUAGAAGUCAAUGACACUUGCUAUAAAUGCAUUUUUAGCACUACUAAUAAUUCAGCAAAAGUGUCUUAUAAAGUCUGAGAUUAUAUUCAAAUAAAUCGUUAAUUCAUAUAGCUAUAAAAUA